rnacentral:ncRNA from 1 species
CUAAAGGCUUUGAGAAGGAAAAGUAAAUAGGGCAGUAUUUAAUAGAGAGCUUCCGAUGGUGGAAAGGAAGUAAAUGAACCCUUUUGAAAAUGACCUUUGAGCUUCGCACCGAACGCUUAUGAGCUAGUAGGCUGCGACGGGGAUGGCACUCGUUAUUACAGCAGCAGUAUCUCUUUUAAAAGACGUACUGAUAGAGGCAAAUAGUGUGAGCUAUUUGUAAAUGUAGGUGGUACCACGAGUAAACUCGUCCUAAUC